rnacentral:rRNA from 1 species
UACAGAGGGUGCGAGCGUUAAUCGGAAUUACUGGGCGUAAAGCGCGCGUAGGCGGCUUUGCAAGUCGGGUGUGAAAUCCCCAGGCUUAACCGAGGAACUGCCUGCCAGACUGGAUGGCUUGAGACCGGGAGAGGUGAGUGGAAUUCCCAGUGUAGCGGUGAAAUGCGUAGAUAUUGGGAGGAACACCAGUGGCGAAGGCGGCUCACUGGACCGGUACUGACGCUGAGGCGCGAAAGCGUGGGGAGCAAACAGG